rnacentral:ncRNA from 1 species
AAGUUAGGUGCUUAGAAUAAGUGAAAAGGGAAUGUGGUUAAAUUCCACAGCAGCCCCCGCUACUGUAAUUGAUGACAACUCUUUAAAAUUGCCACUUUUUUAAAAAUAAGAGGGGAAGGCAAAGAGAAGGAUGAUUCAUGAGCCAGGAGACCUGCCUAAUUUUAA